ACGCUCGACACCUACGGGAGGUAGCAGUCGGGAAUAUUGCGCAAUGGAGGAAACUCUGACGCAGUGACGCCGCGUGCAGGAAGAAGGUUUUCGGAUUGUAAACUGCUUUAGACAGGGAAGAAAAAGGACAGUACCUGUAGAAUAAGCUCCGGCUAACUACGUGCCAGUAGCCGGCGGUAAUACUGAGGCGGGCGUGGCAAGGACG
rnacentral:rRNA from 1 species